UGAUGGUUAGCGGCGGACGGGUGAGUAACACGUAGGCAACCUGCCCUCAAGUUUGGGACAACUACCGGAAACGGUAGCUAAUACCGAAUAGUUGUUUCCUUCGCCUGAAGGAAACUGGAAAGACGGAGCAAUCUGUCACUUGGGGAUGGGCCUGCGGCGCAUUAGCUAGUUGGUGGGGUAACGGCUCACCAAGGCGACGAUGCGUAGCCGACCUGAGAGGGUGAUCGGCCACACUGGGACUGAGACACGGCCCAGACUCCUACGGGAGGCAGCAGUAGGGAAUCUUCCGCAAUGGGCGAAAGCCUGACGGAGCAAUGCCGCGUGAGUGAUGAAGGUUUUCGGAUCGUAAAGCUCUGUUGCCAGGGAAGAACGCUUGGGAGAGUAACUGCUCUCAAGGUGACGGUACCUGAGAAGA
rnacentral:rRNA from 1 species